rnacentral:lncRNA from 1 species
AUGAGUGACACCCACCCCGUUCCCCCAGUGGAGAAGACCCAGGCCACCUUCCCCAUCCUCUGGGACUCUGGCUUCCUGUGCAUGGGCCACAGCCGCAGUGGCACGCGGCUGGCCAUGGUGGUGUCACUGGACCUCAACGCCACCAGCCAAGUGAUGGCUGUGCAACUCCAGGGAUCGAACUUGAGACCUUGCGCUUGCAAGGCAGGCGCCGGAACCACUGAGCUAAAUCCCCGACCCUCCAGCCACCUCUGA